UACGGGGGGGGGGCAAGCGUUGUUCGGAAUUACUGGGCGUAAAGCGCGCGUAGGCGGACCUGCAAGUCGGGGGGUGAAAGCCCGAGGCUCAACCUCGGAACUGCCUUCGAUACUGCGGGUCUCGAGUCCGGGAGAGGUGAGUGGAAUUCCUAGUGUAGAGGUGAAAUUCGUAGAUAUUAGGAAGAACACCAGUGGCGAAGGCGGCUCACUGGCCCGGUACUGACGCUGAGGUGCGAAAGCGUGGGGAGCAAACA
rnacentral:rRNA from 1 species